CCGAGUGUAAAACUCCCAACCCUUUGCGAACGAGCUAGACAGUUGCCUCGGCGGAGGCCCCUUCAGGGGGCUGUCCGCCGGAGGACCGCUAAACUCUUGUAUUUUUGGCCUCUCUGAGUAAUUCUAUAAUGAAUCA
rnacentral:misc_RNA from 1 species